rnacentral:rRNA from 1 species
CUACCCGGGUUUCUAAUCCGGUUUGCUCCCCACACUUUCGCGCCUCAGCGUCACGUGUUGUCCAGAAGGCUGCCUUCGCAAUGGGUAUUCCUACCAGUAUCUACGCAUUCCACCGCUACACUGGUAAUUCUACCUUCCUCUCCAACCGUCCAGCUUGCCAGUAUCCAACGCCGUGUCGAGGUUGAGCCUCGGUCUUUAACAUCGGACUUAACAAACCGCCUACGCGCCCUUUACGCCCAGUGAUUCCGGAUAACGCUUGCACCCUCCGUAUUACCGCGGCUGCUGGCAC